UAAGUUGUUGGAUUGCAUAAGAUAUUGUAGUAGGUUGAGCUUUAAUAUCUCCUGAAUAUGCUAAAUCUACAGAAACUAAAUAACGCAGAUACAGUUUUGAGUUUGGUUGGAACUUUGUAUACUAGAUCGAGACACUUGAGAAUUCCCACCUCCCCACUUUUGACACAUACACAUGUAAAUAUGAAUUUUAUUUUAGAUAUCUUCUUGCUGAAUAUUAUUUACUUCACUUGAGCUUGAAAAAUUUACGUGGUGGAUAAGAAUUGAUUGAUUGAUCUACUAAUCAAGUAACUAAUGUCAUAUUUUAUACUAAAAAAACACACUAUUUUAUAUGAAACACAACUUACGAAGUUACAAAUAUGUAACUUGGUAAAAUUUUGUGCAAAUAUGAGUACUCAGUGAUGGUUACCUUCCUAGGAUUCACAAGUUACAUAUUCUUAAGUGUUCCCUUAACAUGGUUUCAAUACAUAAGCAGGGUUGAGAAUUUUGCUUCUUGUUUAUAGUAUUAAAAUUAAUAAGGCAAUGUUUUAUGACUGAAUAAGCCUCAAUACUUGAUGGGUUGUCUAUGGUGAUUGGAUUAGUUUUUUAAUCUAAGUAGGUGGACCUUUGGUGUUUUUUUUUAAAAUUUAUUUUAUAUAGUUUAUUUUUAUAUUUAUCAUUCAACCAUAAUUCAUGAAUUGGUAGACACAGGUUUUCAUAGUACAUGGUUUGCUCAAAUCCUCAACAUCUAUAUUGUUUUAAUUGGUUAGGGUCUACAACACAAGCAGAUGUUACAAAGUGUUCUUUAUUUUUCCUAUCUAUGUGUGUAUCCCCACUUUCCCGGUCCUGUUUUUUGCUUUUCUUAAGGUUUUGGUGAGUUUGUGUUGGGAUCAAAUUUGUAUUUGCUAUUUAUGUUGCUCCCAUUCUUAGUAUAGUAGAGUUUUACAUGGGCAUCUUUGGCAGUAGUAGCAUAGGUGUUUUUUAUUUUGUGCCCAUUGUAUACAUUGCGUUGAAAGGGAUUUCCCCUUUUUGAUGUCUUUUGAGAUCAUUAUUUUACUUAUUAAAAACGUUCAAUCAGUUGACAUGUCACCAGGGAUAAGCUGACCAUAAUCAGUUGAGAUAUUUUGAACGAGGGUUGGCCUGAUGUAGG
rnacentral:lncRNA from 1 species